CUCAUAACACAUUUUAACAAACGUUUUUGGAUUGAUACAUCAAUUAAUUUAUUUCUUUGACCGACUUGGAGUACAUGAUUACUACAAUUUCUUACUUAACAAUCAUUCAAGCAAAACUACAACCAGAAAUCUAGAAUUAUAGCUUCUUAAUUAAAGCUUCUUUAUCUGUGCUAUCACCAAGUUUUCUGUCCAUUCAGGACAGUUACGCAACCCCAGCUUUCUGUCAAAUUACAGAAAGCAAAUGGAAUCUCAAGAGUUGCAAGGCCUUAAUUGUAUAUAAAUGUGUCGAUAUAUGCAUGGGUAUAUAUUAUAUAGUUUCUAUACUAUGAUACGAUCUCUAUAUUCUUUCUAAAGGUUAUAAUGAUGCCUGGUUUCCAUUUCGUCGUCACGGUCGCAAGUAAAUUCGGGCAAAAUGCUGGGGAAAAUGAAGAAGAUAUUCGGGUAGGUUUACCACAAAAUGUGUUAAACUCAGGUGAUUUAUUACAGUUCUUAAUAAGAAUUCGGGCAAACUCUGGAGUGAGCCCCUGUAAAGGAUUGAUACCGUUAGCUAUAUCUCAAUUAUUUCUGGAAUAUUAGUAAAUACUGAUACGCAUCACAACAGCAAAAUAAAUGCAGAUUUCUUCCCCAUAUUUUUCAUAACUACGACAAAAUGGAAGCCAUGCAGGCUUAAUUAAAUUACCAAACUAUGAUUCUACGAAAUUGUUGAGGAUUAUACACAUCAAUCUAUGAAAAUCUAACGUUCCAUUUCUCAGAACUAAAACUUGGACACUAAUCUAUUUUGACCAUCCAUAGUUGUUUCUGGAUAAUUCUCCUCUUCUUCUUCAACCUUGCUUGGCUUGAAGUUGUCGUACAUUUGAUCAUCAAAUGACGCCAGAAACGCUGAUAUGACGUCAUAACAGAAAAUAUACUGUGCCUAUACAAAUAAUCAUAUCAAUGUCAAAGUCAUCUAAUCGUUAUACAUGCAGAAGGAUACUUUGUUACAACUGCAGUGCGAUUAAGU